GUCGAAACCUUUAUUCUUCAACAGUUCAACAUAGAACGAUGGAGGCCGUGAUAAAGCGACCAGCACAACACCUCGAGCUUGUGAUUUACCGGCGAGAAUGUUAGAAGUAAGUUGCGUAAGAAUAUGGUUGAAGACGAAGGAACCGAGAGGCGCGUCGAUAGUAUCCUUUAUAGUUAGAGCAGGAGCGUGUUCUCCUUCGAAU
rnacentral:misc_RNA from 1 species